GAUGAGAAGCUUGCUUCUCUGAUGUUAGCGGCGGACGGGUGAGUAACACGUGGGUAACCUACCUAUAAGACUGGGAUAACUCCGGGAAACCGGGGCUAAUACCGGAUAAUAUUUUGAACCGCAUGGUUCAAUAGUGAAAGACGGUUUCGGCUGUCACUUAUAGAUGGACCCGCGCCGUAUUAGCUAGUUGGUAAGGUAACGGCUUACCAAGGCGACGAUACGUAGCCGACCUGAGAGGGUGAUCGGCCACAUUG
rnacentral:rRNA from 1 species